rnacentral:lncRNA from 1 species
UCUUCUCUCCCUCCCACUUCAAAAUAUUAUUUUGGGUAAAUUCCGCUUACCUCCCCUGAGUUUAUGACAAAUAUAUAAUUACUUUUCUUAGUUUACAAAAUAAAUAUUAACUCCCAUGACUUUUGAAAUAAUUGUUAAUUCGCCUUAAGCUAAAUUUUGUGCAAAAAAGACAGAAGGGGUCAGCAGUGGGAGGGACGUGCAAUUUUGUUCUUAAUAAAACAAUUUUAAAAUAAAUAAAAUAUUUUCUCUUUUUAAAAAAAUGAUAAUAAAAUUUAUUUUUUUUAAGUUAUAUUUAGUAGAGGACUUGAUGAACGUUAAAAUAUUUAGAUAGGUUUUUAAAAAAAAUAGUAAGUAGAAAUUUUUUUGAUAGUAUAUUUUUAUUAAGAAUUAAAAAUUACUUAGAUCAAUCUUUUUAAAAAAAAUUAUUAUUGAUAAGAAAUAAAAGGUAGAAAUAAUUAUAAAUAAAUGGAUUUUGAGGGAAAAAAAUAGAAUAUUUAUUUAUUUUAAUGGGUUUUUUGGUGGGUGGUGGUUGUGUUGUGUUGUUUGUAUUGAGGAAAAAAAAAUUGAAAUCCCUAAACCACAAAGGAAAAAAUUUAUUAUUUUUGCAAAAAUUUAGCUUCAGGCGGAGGGAAUUUUGAUUAGAUAUUAGGUUCUAGAAGUAAUGGACGGUGAGUUAGGAGAGGGAAAAAGAAGAGAAGGGGAAGGGAGGGUGGGAGAAAACCUCAGGGGGGGGAGGUCAGUGAAAUUCACCCAAUUAUUUUUCAACAGUUGGCUGUUUUUCUAUUUUCUGUUCAUAUAGAUGUGAUUUUCCUUAUUAUGUCUCACUUGUAUAUCAAAUUUGUUGGAAAUUAAGUUUGAUAUUUUAAUAAAUAUUAAAAUAAAAGUUGUAUCUUUUUAUUUAAAGUGCCUUUUAGAAUUUAUUUUGAACCAAGAGUUGUCUUUGAAAAGACAUUUCUUUUAUGAAAUGGUGUCUUCAAAUUUAUAAAAGGGACUAUCAUACACAUCAUUUGUAAGGUCAAUUCUAAUUUUAUUUCUAUUAUUCUCCUACCAUAAAUACUAUUUUCAUAUUUCUUAGUAAUUAUGAGAAAGACUUGGUACCCCCGUCUUCCACCGAUCACACUCUAUGAGAUUUAUGGGUUGUAUCUUGGAGUGAUAUUCGACCGUCAGAAUCUGCGCGAAGGGACACGAAUACGAUUUUAGACAAAUACUUAUCAUGAUCUUAUCAGUAUCACACUAGCUAUUUCUUUAUUGGAUAUAAUUAUUAAUUUACGUAAGUUAUGUUUAUUAUUUUUUGUAAAUAAUUAAUAAUUUUUUGGUAUUUUAGAUAAAUGCGUGUGAUAAAUUCUCAAACAAAUUUGUGAUGUAAGAGGGAUGAGUGACUUUUGUAAAUGAUAAAAGAAAACUGUUAUUUAAUAUAUAUCAUUAUAAGGUGACGAAAGUAGCAUUAUUUUUUCGUUUGGUUUUCUUUUAAAAGGGGGGAGACCUCUCGCUACCCGUCAGUGGAAGAAGGGAAAUUUGAUUUUGAAUGUUGGUGGAAACCAUUUUUUCUCGUGAAGUGCGCCGCGUUGAUGGAGUGGAACAUUUUCUCAAAGCUAUGUAAUUACUGUCACCUAUGCAAAUUGCAAUGUUGCCUGAAGUUUGUUGGAUGGUUUGUGCCCUGUGAUCUUGAAUUUUUUUUUUUUUAGAAGGGGGGGGGGGGGGGGGGGGGGGGGGGGGACAAAGAGCAAUGAUUUAAAUAUAUAUUGUAUAAAAAUAAAUCCACUUCACAUACUUAUGCUAUUGUGGCGAUGUUUGGGGUUGAUAAAUUGGAAGAACAUGACUCGUUUUUUGAAUUGUAGUUGUAAGCAAUUGCACUUAGACAUUUUACUUGAUUUUUUUAUCUUUUUUAAAAAAGUACAGUUAUAAAUCUUUUUAACGCAUAGUCUAGUAAGAUUGUGCUUGGAUUACAAUUUGAUGGAGGGAAAGGAGAAGGAAAUAAAAAAAAUUAAAAAAUCAAAUAAUUUAGAUUUAUUUUUAUUUAUUUUUACUUUCUUUUCUCUCAAUAAAUUCCUCCCUAAAUCCUUAAUCUAAAUAUAGCCUUCCCUUUUAAAGUUUUACUAUAUGCUUGCAAGUUUUAGAAACAGUUGCAAUAUUCUGCUGCAUUAUUCCCACUACACUAUCAGUUAGCAAAUCUAUAUGAAUCUAUUGAAAUGUCUCACAUUGUCCUUAUGUCUUCUUAAUGUUGUCUAUAAGGUUCAUAUUUUUUUCUCUUUAAUAUAUGAGUUUUAAGCAGAAAGAUGGGCUGAAUCUGACAAGUAGUAUCAGAGAAAGGUUGGACCUUAAUAAGGAAAAAAAAAUUCUAUCAUUUCAAACCACUCAUUUCAACAUAACUUCAACCAUUUCCUCAAUUUAGCGAAAAUUGCUCAAUUGCUAUUCAAUUUUCAUAUAAAAAAUGCGAUUGUGGUUGCUUGAAUUUAAACUUAUGUUUUUAAGAUUUUAAAGUCCAAACAUUUAUGUAAUAUCCCAACUCUCCUAAUAUUCUUUUUAUACCAUCCCAUAUUUUUUUAAUUUUACGAUAAUUUUUGGGCAAUUUUCUAAAUUGAUUUUUUGACCAGAAUUUUGAACAAAAUGUGCGGGAACACCCAUAUUUUUUCCUAUUCUCUCUUGGAGCAUCCAACCCCUUCUUGUUCAUUCUAUUCCUCAUUCACGAGGUGGGAAUUUAGGAUGAGAUGGUGGCAAAAUUGUCGCAUGGCAUUUAGAGAGAACCCUAAUACCUUUGUUUUCAUGUUUAUAUAUAUAUUGAAAUUGCUUGACAAGAGGAAAAUCGAAAAAAAAUAUUGGCCAAAAAAAAAAACAAUUAAAGAAAAAAUGAGAAAAAAAUAUAUUGUUACGCUUUAUUUGACUUUAAAAAUAAAUUAUAAAAUUAUUUUAGAUAAUUAUAGAUAAAUUUUAAUGUAAUAUUUAAAAUGUAUAUAAUGAAUUAUACAUAUUAUUUUAUUUUUAAGUCAUUUAUAAUAGAAAUUAUUAAAUUUUAUUAAAACUUCAGAAUUCUAAAUAAGAUAAAUGAAAGUAAAAAUUUGGCCAAACUACGGGAACAAAUGAUGCAAUUUACCCGGGAAUAAAGGCAACACAUCUAAACCGUCCAUUCAUUUGAGGAUCGUAAGGUGGCGGAGGCUAGGGUUUCGAACAUUCCGGAUAACCGAGAACAACGCGGUAAUACUCCUAUAAAGCCAUCUCUUUCUUCAUCUCCAAAGGAAUUCCAAAACCCUAGAUUACUGUACCUCUCUCUCUCAGAAGUUAUGGCCGGAAAGGGAGAGGGACCAGCGAUCGGAAUCGAUCUCGGCACGACCUACUCGUGCGUCGGGGUAUGGCGGCACGACCGCGUCGAGAUCAUCGCCAACGACCAAGGCAACCGUACGACGCCGUCCUACGUCGGCUUCACCGACACCGAACGGUUGAUCGGCGCCGCCGCCAAGAAUCAGGUCGCCAUGAACUACAUUAACACUGUAUUCGGUAAGACUCCUCUCUCUUUCUCUCUCUAAUUUUAUUUGGAUCUGUUAGUGGCCAUAAUAUGGUCUACCGGAUCUACUAGUUUG